GUGCUCAUUUGGGUGGUAUAUAUUCUAAAAUGUAACAAUACAGAGAAGAUUAGCAUGGCUCUUGCACAAUGAUAAUUUGCAAAAAUCAUAUUUACUUUUCUUUUUA
ensembl:snRNA U6 U6 spliceosomal RNA